AUUGAACGCUGGCGGCAUGCUUUACACAUGCAAGUCGAACGGUAACAGGCCUUCGGGUGCUGACGAGUGGCGAACGGGUGAGUAAUGCAUCGGAACGUGCCCAAUCGUGGGGGAGUAACGUAGCGAAAGUUACGCUAAUACCGCAUAAGCCCUGAGGGGGAAAGGCAGGGGAUCGCAAGACCUUGCGCGAAUGGAGCGGCCGAUGUCAGAUUAGCUAGUUGGUGGGGUAAAGGACCUACCAAGGCGACGAUCUGUAGCGGGUCUGAGAGGAUGAUCCGCCACACUGGGACUGAGACACGGCCCAGACUCCUACGGGAGGCAGCAGUGGGGAAUUUUAGGACAAUGGGCGCAAGCCUGAUCCAGCCAUGCCGCGUGCGGGACGAAGGCC
rnacentral:rRNA from 1 species